rnacentral:rRNA from 1 species
UUUGGCGAAGCUGUGCUUGCACAGCCUAGCCAAGGCGGACGGGUGAGUAACGCGUAAGGAACUUGCCCUGCAGUCAGGGAUAACAGACGGAAACGACUGAUAAGACCUGUAAAGUCAGGCGGACUCAUGUCCAGCCUGAUGAAAAGAGAUGCUGCAGGAGAGCCUUGCGUCCUAUUAGCUUGUUGGUGGGGUAACGGCCCACCAAGGCGAUGAUAGGUAGCCGGCCUGAGAGGGUGGACGGCCACAAGGGGACUGAGAUACGGCCCUUACUCCUACGGGAGGCAGCAGUGGGGAAUAUUGGACAAUGGGGGCAACCCUGAUCCAGCAAUUCUGUGUGCACGAUGAAGGUUUUCGGAUUGUAAAGUGCUUUCAGCAGGGAAGAAAAAAAUGACGGUACCUGCAGAAGAAGCGACGGCUAAAUACGUGCCAGCAGCCGCGGUAAUACGUAUGUCGCAAGCGUUAUCCGGAAUUAUUGGGCAUAAAGGGCAUCUAGGCGGCCAGAUAAGUCUGGGGUGAAAACUUGCGGCUCAACCGCAAGCCUGCCCUGGAAACUAUGUGGCUAGAGUACUGGAGAGGUGGACGGAACUGCACGAGUAGAGGUAAAUUCGUAGAUAUGUGCAGGAAUGCCGAUGAUGAAGAUAGUUCACUGGA